UGCGUAGGCGGCGGGGCAAGUCAGGUGUGAAAUCCCGGAGCUCAACUCCGGAACUGCAUUUGAUACUGCCUCGCUAGAGUACUGGAGAGGAGACUGGAAUUUACGGUGUAGCAGUGAAAUGCGUAGAGAUCGUAAGGAAGACCAGUGGCGAAGGCGAGUCUCUGGACAGUUACUGACGCUGAGGCACGAAGCCAGGGGAGCAAACG
rnacentral:rRNA from 1 species